rnacentral:rRNA from 1 species
AUUGAACGCUGGCGGCAUGCUUUACACAUGCAAGUCGAACGGCAGCGCGGGCUUCAGCCUGGCGGCGAGUGGCGAACGGGUGAGUAAUGCAUCGGAACGUGCCCAGUAGUGGGGGAUAGCCCGGCGAAAGCCGGAUUAAUACCGCAUACGACCUGAGGGUGAAAGCGGGGGACCGAAAGGCCUCGCGCUAUUGGAGCGGCCGAUGUCGGAUUAGCUAGUUGGUGGGGUAAAGGCUUACCAAGGCGACGAUCCGUAGCUGGUCUGAGAAGACGACCAGCCACACUGGGACUGAGACACGGCCCAGACUCCUACGGGAGGCAGCAGUGGGGAAUUUUGGACAAUGGGGGCAACCCUGAUCCAGCCAUGCCGCGUGCGGGAAGAAGGCCUUCGGGUUGUAAACCGCUUUUGUUCGGGAAGAAAUCCUCUGGGCUAAUACCCCGGGGGGAUGACGGUACCGGAAGAAUAAGCACCGGCUAACUACGUG